rnacentral:rRNA from 1 species
UUCCCCUAGUACUGCGAGUGAAGCGGGAAAAGCUCAAAUUUAAAAUCUGGUGGUCUUUGGCCAUCCGAGUUGUAAUUUAGAGAAGCGUCUUCCGCGCUGGACCGUGCACAAGUCUCCUGGAAUGGAGCGUCAUAGAGGGUGAGAAUCCCGUCUUUGGCACGGACACGCCAGGGCUUUUGUGAUGCGCUCUCGAAGAGUCGAGUUGUUUGGGAAUGCAGCUCAAAAUGGGUGGUGAACUCCAUCUAAAGCUAAAUAUUGGCGAGAGACCGAUAGCGAACAAGUACCGUGAGGGAAAGAUGAAAAGCACUUUGGAAAGAGAGUGAAACAGUACGUGAAAUUGUUGAAAGGGAAACGCUUGAAGUCAGUCGCGUCGACCGAGACUCAGCCUCGCCUUGGCUUGGUGUAAUUCUCGGCUGACGGGUCAGCAUCAAUUUUGCCUCUUGGAUAAUGGCGAGGGAAAUGUGACACCUUUACGGUGUGUUAUAGUCUCUUGUCGCAUGCAAGGGUUGGGAUUGAGGAACUCAGCACGCGCCUUCGGGUGUCGGGGUUAUGCCCACGAUACGUGCUUAGGAUGUUGGCGUAAUGGCUUUAAACGACCCGUCUUGAAACACGGACCAAGGAGUCUAACAUGCGUGCGAGUGUUCGGGUGGAAAACCCGUGCGCGCAAUGAAAGUGAAAGUUGGGACCUCUGUCGUGGAGGGCACCGACGCCCGGACCAGACCUUCUGUGACGGCUCUGCGGUAAAGCAUGUAUGUUAGGACCCGAAAGAUGGUGAACUAUGCCUGAAUAGGGUGAAGCCAGAGGAAACUCUGGUGGAGGCUCGUAGCGAUUCUGACGUGCAAAUCGAUCGUCAAAUUUGGGUAUAGGGGCGAAAGACU